rnacentral:misc_RNA from 1 species
GGGCUUCACGGAUGAAGCCC